rnacentral:miRNA from 1 species
UUUCCUGAUUUACUCCAGCUGA